AAUAGCUCAGGGAUCUAGGGCAUUAAACAUCAAAGUAUCGAUGCAUAAAGCUAAAUAAGCAAGUUUACAAGAAAAACGUGAUUAAACAUUUAGGCCCCUUUAAGGAACUAUUAGACUGUGCAUUCCUGUUAGGAAUAGGCAACAUUCAUCACAUUAGAGGCUCUUCCAUGAUUGUCACAACAAAAUACAAUUAUAACAUUUUAGAUGCACAUUACUUCAUUCUGUUCAAGAAGAAGGUAGUGAGCAGCAUCCAUGUCUCACAAUCAUGGUUCAAAGUCACGGUCGCGGUCGUGGUCGCGGCCCGGAACGUUCCACAUCGGUCUCGGCAUAUCGGUCGCGGUCUCGGUGAGAAGCAAAUUUUAAAGUAUUUAAUAUUUUAAAAAUUGUUAAUAAUAUAAAAAAGUAUGCUAAAUAAAAAUAAUUAAAAAAUAGCAAAAGAAACGGCCAAGUCAAUCCGUCGCGGUGUGACUCGGCUGAUUUUUCGUCUUGACUCGGGAUAACUCGGAAUGACUCGGUGUGACUCGGCCGAGUCACUUCGUCGCGGGACGACUCGGCCGAUUUCUCGGCGAGUCAAGUAUUUCGGGAUUGUUUCGUCACGGUAUCGUAUCGGUAAGGGCCGAGACGGUGACGACUCGGCUGAGUCGUCUCGGUCUCGGCCGAGACUUCGAACCAUGCUCACAAUACCAUCACAGAAGGAUUGUCAUGCUAAACAUUUUCCAUUUUCUUACUUUUCAUAAUCCCCCCAUGCUUUGCUUGCCCUAAUUAGUUACAAAGUUGUCAUUCUGCAGUCAGUGUCCAGAUUUUCUAGAUUUCUGCAGGUACAGGUUUCAACCAAAAGAAUACAACUAAAAUGACAGAAACAGGAAAAGAAGCCAAGACAUAGAACCUUGCAAAGUAGCCAACUCUAUGUGUUAGCAGAUCAGCAAGUAGAUAUACAAACAGGGGCUAAAUUUCUGAAAUCUUAUGAUGUCCUGUAAACUCAAGCUGAAAUUCCACACUAUUUCUUGAGGAAAAAGCUUAUCCAUAAGACCAAGAUACAAAAGAAAAAGCCUAAAGAGCAGUAAGUUCUAAGGCCAAAACUGCACUAUCCACGCCCUAUAUCUGUGACACAGCUAUUUUCUUCAUGUUUAGGUUGACCCAAGAUUCGCGACACUGACAUGUAAGAGAAAAAUAAAAUUGCAGAUGUGUAAUAAUACUAAUUGCAUUGACAAACUUAUCUUGAGCAAGAAGCCAUCAUUAACCAAAUUCCAUUUAAAACCUUGGGAUUAAAAAUCACAGCAAGUCUAGCAGCAGGGUAGCUACUGGACUGAUGAUAACUAUUUCCAAUUCCUCAAUUUUUCUUUGUCCCAACAAAUGUGCAAUCUCAGUCAUUCACUUUUUUUUAAUUUUUAUCACUCAUAUUCAAAACAAAUGCUCCCACCAAUUCAUAGACUUUACAGUUAAAUACCCAAAAUAAAUGACUAACUUACAUUCUGAAAGAGCAACAAUAGCCUAAUAUACUUGUGUUGUAUCUAUAGCUUAAGUAUCAAGAUUCAAUUUGCCAUCAAAAUACCAACACCAAGUGAAAGAUAUAAUUAAAUUCAGAACAUUUUCCUUACCAGAUUAAUUACAGAACAGUCCGUGACCUAAUGUUUUGUUUUCUGCUGGACCAUCAAAGGAAGAAAAAAUCUAUAUUUUUCAUAGAUUUCAAUUUCUUGAGGGGUAAAUUGCAUCAUCAAGAAUUCCACCCUGCCUUGCGAAAAGCAACAUAAACUCGAGCCUCAGAAAGAGGUAAAGGAAUUAUCCUAAACAACGUGACUGAAACUUGAACGAAUAAAGGCAAAGGGAAGAGAGAUUACCUUGCAAGAACAGCGGAUUUGGAGAUAAUUCUGAUCUUGGGACGAUAAUUUUUACGUUUGUGAAGUUACAAGGUUCCCUGCUGUCCCGCUGAGCUCUGGAGAGGUGCUGUUGCAAGCCAUAAGACUAAGAGAGAACCAUUCGGGCUGUGAC
rnacentral:lncRNA from 1 species